rnacentral:rRNA from 1 species
CCUACGGGUGGCUGCAGUAGGGAAUAUUGCUCAAUGGGGGAAACCCUGAAGCAGCAACGCCGCGUGGAGGAUGAAGGUUUUCGGAUUGUAAACUCCUUUUGUUAGAGAAGAUAAUGACGGUAUCUAACGAAUAAGCACCGGCUAACUCCGUGCCAGCAGCCGCGGUAAUACGGAGGGUGCAAGCGUUACUCGGAAUCACUGGGCGUAAAGAGCGCGUAGGCGGGGUAGCAAGUCAGAUGUGAAAGCCUAGGGCUUAACAAUAGAAGUGCUUUUGAAACUGUUAUUCUAGAGUAUGGGAGAGGGAGGGGGAAUGCGUGGUGUAGGGGUAAAAGGCGGAGAGAGCAGGAGGAAUAC